GAUGAACGCUGGCGGCGUGCCUAAUACAUGCAAGUAGAACGCUGAAGCUUGGUGCUUGCACCGAGCGGAUGAGUCGCGCACGGGUGAGUAACGCGUAGGUAACCUGCCUCUUAGCGGGGGAUCACUAUUGGAAACGAUAGCUAAUACCGCAUAAGAGCCGAUAUCGCAUGAUAUUGUGUUGAAAGGUGCAAAUGCAUCACUAAGAGAUGGACCUGCGUUGUAUUAGCUAGGUGGUGAGGUAACGGCUCACCAAGGCGACGAUACGUAGACGACCUGAGAGGGUGAGCGGCCACACUGAGAGUGAGACACGGCCCAGACGGCUACAGGAGGCAGCAGUAGGGAAUCUUGGGCAAGGGGGGCAACCUUGACCGAGCAACGCGGCGUGAGUGAGGAAGGUUUUCGGAUCGUAGAGCUCUGUUGUAGGGGAAGAACGAGUGUGAGAGUGGAAAGUUCACACUGUGACGGUAACUGACCAGAAAGGGACGGCUAACUACGUG
rnacentral:rRNA from 1 species